rnacentral:rRNA from 1 species
UACGUAGGCAGCGAGCGUUGUUCGGAAUUACUGGGCGUAAAGAGUGUGUAGGCGGUGCUCUAAGUUCGGUGUGAAAUCUCCUGCUUAACUGGGAGGGUGCGCCGGAAACUGGAGUGCUCGAGCGUGGGAGAGGAAAGCGGAAGUUCCUGGUGUAGCGGUGAAAGUGCGUAGAUAUCAGGAGGAACACCUGUGGUGUAGACGGCUUUCUGGACCAUUGCUGACGCUGAGACACGAAAGCGUGGGUAGCAAACAGG